AUGAACGCUGGCGGCAGGCUUAACACAUGCAAGUCGAACGAGAAACUUACUUCGGUAAGUGGAAAGUGGCAGACGGGUGAGUAACAUGUGGGUAUCUACCCUUUGGCCUGGAAUAACACGAGGAAACUUGUGCUAAUACCGGAUAAGUCUUUACGGAGAAAGCUUUAUGCACCAUUGGAUGAGCCCGCACUUGAUUAGUUUGUUGGUAGGGUAAUGGCCUACCAAGACUAUGAUCAAUAGCUGAUUUGAGAGGAUGAUCAGCCACAUUGGGACUGAGACACGGCCCAAACUCCUACGGGAGGCAGCAGUGGGGAAUCUUGC
rnacentral:rRNA from 1 species